rnacentral:rRNA from 1 species
UUCCUACGGGUGGCUGCAGUGGGGAAUUUUGGACAAUGGGCGAAAGCCUGAUCCAGCAAUGCCGCGUGCAGGAUGAAGGCCUUCGGGUUGUAAACUGCUUUUGUACGGAACGAAAAGCUUCGGGUUAAUACCCUGGAGUCAUGACGGUACCGUAAGAAUAAGCACCGGCUAACUACGUGCCAGCAGCCGCGGUAAUACGUAGGGUGCAAGCGUUAAUCGGAAUUACUGGGCGUAAAGCGUGCGCAGGAGGUCUUGUAAGACAGAGCUGAAAUCCCCGGGCUCAACCUGGGGACUGCCUUUGUGACUGCAAGGCUGGAGUGCGGCAGAGGGGGAUGGAAUUCCGCGUGUAGCAGUUAAAUGCGUAGAUAUGCGGAGGAACACCGAUGGCGAAGGCAAUCCCCUGGGCCUGCACUGACGCUCAUGCACGAAAGCGUGGGGAGCAAACAGGAUUAGAUACCCGGGUAGUCGC